UAAAGAAUCGUAAUAACGUUAGACAUGAUUAGUUUUGUCAACCAAACUCAGGGAAUAUUCCAGUUCGGACAUAGAAAGAAAAUAACCAACUCGAAAAGUGGCGUUCAAUUUCAAAGUAAAAUUUGCUCGAUAUGCGAUAAGAAUCUAGAAUAAUUUUGAAUAGACAUACGCUGCACGCUACCUGCAGUUUUCCAAACGAAUACGAGACCUGAGAAACUUCGAAAAUGUUAGUUGCCACGACAUCUGAGGAUACGAACAAUUUUUUUUUUUUUUUAACGGAAGGGAGCUUCUUUGCAAUCGUUAGCGCCCGUUUCUGCGAGAGUUAUGCGAAGAUCGUUACGGAGAUUGGGAAAAAAAGAGAACGACUCAGGAUAUGCGAGUUUACGAACGGGUAUACGUGCGUGAUACACACCGUAAUUUCUAAAUGCAAGAACAUCCUGUGUUCACACCAGCAACGCAACCUACGCGCGUCAGUCUACUACCUGAACCUACGUAAUCUAGGGACUGUAAAUAUAUCAGCUGUUAUCGUCGAACGUCGCCGAGAGCUAUGUUCCGCGUGUACUGGUUACAACGGCUCCCGUGUUAAUAUCAAACAGCGAAAAUUUAUUUCGCGCAUCAGCGUUAAUUGAUGAAAACCCCCUAUCAAGGACUGCCGCGUAUCGCCUGGGAAACGGUAGCAGUUCUGGCCCUACUGGAAAUGCAAAUUUCAUCAUCAAUGCGUGUACUCUUUGAUUAAUUAUAACAUCAUUAAAUUUUAAGCACCUAGGACGCGGCUGAACGGAUUCAUGUCGCGUUUGUAAUUCUCGAACAAGCCGAUUAAAUUGUUAUUUAGUGCAAUUAGUUCUGCUGGUGAAUCUCCGGAACAGCUAUUAUUUUCAAUCUAUGAUUACAUUCCAACGAUGCCAAGAGUAAAUGUUACUAAUAACGCGUGAUUACUUCGAAGUAAAUGGGACAUAAACGGAGGUCUAAUUUAAGUUUGAGUAACACCUACGUUCCCACGAUGCCAAGACAACUGUUUGCCAUUUUCGCCACACUCCGGACGCGCGAAUUGGCAAGCUCGAUCUUCGCUCCGUAAUUUGAGGAAAGAAGGUCAGAGAACCAUCGAUACCUAACCACAGCGACAUAUCAGCUCGACGAAAGAGCUGACCACGAGAUUGUGGUAAAUCGAAGGGUGAACUAAAACCAGACAAUGGAGCCAGGAUAUUUAUGCACUUGCAGGUACAAUGUUCCGGAAGGGAGCUGCAAAAAGUAACACGACAGAAUUCAAUAAGAAGAAAUUGUAAACUAUAAGAAUUGUGAACUAUAAGAAGACUAUAAAGAACUAUAAAGAACGUCAAACACAAUAGAAUGAACUCUUCAACUUUUCUUUUAUAACUAUUCCUUUAAAAAAAGGAAUCGAAGGCGUUCAAAGUAUUAACGUUCCAGCAAUUUCAUUCUGGUCCUCUUCAGAAAUAAUGCACAAAAUGUAUUAAAAAAACCAAUGCGAAACGGCAUAAAAGAUAAUAUAUAAAAACGUGAAUUUAUGUAUAGAAAUAUGUGCGGUAGAAAAUUGAUUAAAAUUACGAAGGUUAAUUUAAUUUUCAUGAAUUGAAGAGAGCCUA